rnacentral:rRNA from 1 species
AAUGAACGUUGGCGGCGUGGAUUAGGCAUGCAAGUCGCGCGACAAGGAACCUUCGGGUUCUGGAGGAGCGGCAAAACGGGGUAGUAAGGCAUCGGAACGUACCCUCUUGUUGGGAAUAGCCGCGGGAAACUGCGAGUAAUGCCCAAUAAUCCCUACGGGGCAAAGGUCCGCCGCAGGAGGAGCGGCCGAUGUGAUACCAGCUAGUUGGUGAGGUAAUGGCUCACCAAGGCUUAGACGUCUAGGGGGUGUGAGAGCAUGGCCCCCACCACUGGGACGUGAGAUACUGCCCACGACACCUACCGGGUGGGCGUGC